GAGCAGGUGGCCUGCAGGUGGACGGACACAAGCCCAGAGCGGAGGCACCCGAGGGACACAGCCAGUGUGGCCGGGCUCGGAGCCAGCACGCCGGGGUCUCGGACGCUGUCCUGGCGCUGCUGGAGCCCCGAGCCAGGCUGCACCUGCAGCCAAGGCCCUCCAUGCCUCACCCAGGGUGGGGACAGGUCCCUUCGAAGGAAUCUCUGCGGGUUUUGAAGGGGCAAGGCGCAACCAAACCGAACCCAGGAACGUUUCAUGUGGCUGCUGCUGACUUGCGUAAUUUUCCCUGAGGUAUUCAAGCCAGCAGAACACUGAGGUGACAACACAUCCUUUGUUGUGUCCUACCCGCACAUGGAGGUGGCAGAGACGAGAAACAGGAAAAAAA